GACGAACGCUGGCGGCGUGCUUAACACAUGCAAGUCGAACGAAGAGCGAUGGAAGCUUGCUUCUAUCAAUCUUAGUGGCGAACGGGUGAGUAACGCGUAAUCAACCUGCCCUUCAGAGGGGGACAACAGUUGGAAACGACUGCUAAUACCGCAUACGAUCUAAUCUCUGCAUCGAGGAUAGAUGAAAGGUGGCCUCUACAUGUAAGCUAUCACUGAAGGAGGGGAUUGCGUCUGAUUAGCUAGUUGGAGGGGUAACGGCCCACCAAGGCGAUGAUCAGUAGCCGGUCUGAGAGGAUGAACGGCCACAUUGGGACUGAGACACGGCCCAGACUCCUACGGGAGGCAGCAGUGGGGAAUCUUCCGCAAUGGACGAAAGUCUGACGGAGCAACGCCGCGUGAGUGAUGACGGCCUUCGGGUUGUAAAGCUCUGUUAAUCGGGACGAAAGGCCUUCUUGCGAAUAGUGAGAAGGAUUGACGGUACCGGAAUAGAAAGCCACGGCUAACUACGUG
rnacentral:rRNA from 1 species